rnacentral:rRNA from 1 species
GACGAACGCUGGCGGCGUGCUUAACACAUGCAAGUCGAACGGAAAGGCCCUGCUUUUGUGGGGUGCUCGAGUGGCGAACGGGUGAGUAACACGUGAGUAACCUGCCCCUGACUUAGGGAUAACUUCAGGAAACUGGGGCUAAUACCGGAUAGGAGAUCCUGCUGCAUGGUGGGGGUUGGAAAGUUUCGGCGGUUGGGGAUGGACUCGCGGCUUAUCAGCUUGUUGGGGGGGUAGUGGCUUACCAAGGCUUUGACGGAUAGCCGGCCUGGGAGGGUGGCCAGCCACAUUGGGACUGCGAGACGGCCCAGACUCCUACGGGAGGCAGCAGUGGGGAGUAUUGCGCAAUAGGCGGGAGUCAGAUGCAACAACGCCGCGUGCGGGAUGACGGCCUUCUGGUGGUGAACCGCUGUCGCCUGUAACGAAGCGUGAGUGACGGUAAUGGGUAAAGAAGCACCGGCUAACUACGUG